GAAGCACAUGGGUUGUAGUGAGAUUUCUAAUUUUACUGGAAGCGGUUCGACUCCGUUUGUGGUUCU
rnacentral:tRNA from 1 species